GCCUUCGUGGUGUAGUGGUCAGCACGCUCGACGCGUAUUCGAGAGGAUCGUAGUUCGAGUCCUGGCGGAGGCA
rnacentral:tRNA from 1 species